rnacentral:rRNA from 1 species
CCUACGGGAGGCAGCAGUGAGGAAUAUUGGUCAAUGGGCGCGAGCCUGAACCAGCCAAGUAGCGUGAAGGAUGACUGCCCUACGGGUUGUAAACUUCUUUUAUAAAGGAAUAAAGGAAGGCACGUGUGCCUUUUUGAAUGUACUUUAUGAAUAAGGAUCGGCUAACUCCGUGCCAGCAGCCGCGGUAAUACGGAGGAUGCGAGCGUUAUCCGGAUUUAUUGGGUUUAAAGGGUGCGUAGGUGGGUUGUUAAGUCAGUUGUGAAAGUUUGCGGCUUAACCGUCAUAUUGCAAUUGAUACUGGCAGUCUUGAGUACAGUUGAGGUAGGCGGAAUUCGUGGUGUAGCGGUGAAAUGCUUAGAUAUCACGCAGAACUCCGAUUGCGAAGGCAGCUUACUAAACUGCCACUGACGUUGAUGCUCGAAAGUGUGGGUAUCAAACAGGAUUAGAUACCCGGGUAGUC